GGCAUACUUACUCUAGUCCUCUGCAGUUGGUGUUUCCAGGUAGGCUAUCUUCAAAUGUUGCUCUUGAAUCAACUAUCCUUAAAUUAGAUUCUUAACAUUUUAUUAUUUUAGGCUGACAGUUGAAAAGAACCUACAGCCAAAUCAAAAGAAUUCAUAAGUGAGUUUAGCAAAGUUACUAGAAACAAUAUUUAAAAAUUUAUUUGAAUUUUUCUAUACAAGCAAUAAAAAAAACAAAAAGAUGUUAUUUAUAACAGCUUCAAAAAUAUCAAAUAACUAAAAAUAAGUCUAGCAAAAGAUAUGCAAGGCCACCAUGCCAAAAACUAUAAGACACUAUUAAGAUAAAAAAAAUAAGACCUAAAUACUCUAACUGAUAGAAAAGACUAAUUCAUGGAUUGCAGAAAUCAAAUUGUAAAGGAUAAUUCUUCCCAGAUGGAUCUAGAUAUCCAAUGUAAACACCUUUGAUUAUUUUUUUUUAAAUGAAACUUGACAAGUGAGUCUACAUUUAACUAGAAAUUCCAAGGGUCAAUAGCUAAGAAAUGUUUUACACGAGUAACAGUGGAUUCUGAUUAUCAAGACUAUAAUGCUUCGGUAGUAAUACAUUGGCACAAGUUAAGAGAUUGGAUGAGGAUUAUAAGGAUAGACAAGUUAACCAAUGAAAUAGAAAGAGAGCCAAAAACAGACUUAACCACACAUGGGUGCUUGAUUUAUGAGAAAGGUGGUAUCAUAGACCAGUGGGGAGAAAGGGAUCUUGUUGAUAAAUAAUAUUGGGACAAUUGAAUAUCCAUAUUAAGAAAAAAUUUGACCCCUGCCUGACACAAUAAAUAGAUAUUAAUUUUAAAUUUUUAGGCAUAAAUAUGAAAGAAAAAAGCAAAAAAUAUUAAGAUGAUACAGUAGGAGAAUAGUUUCAUGAUUUUAGAGUAAGAAAAGAAUUAAAAUAGGACAUAAGAAACGCUAACUAUAAAGGAACCAAGCCACAUACGUACAUUGAAAUUAUUAACUUCUGUUUGCCAAAAGACACCUUUAAAAACGAAAAGGG
rnacentral:lncRNA from 10 species